AUCAGUGAGUCAUCGAAUCUUUGAACGCACAUUGCGCCUCUCGGUAUUCCGGGAGGCACGCCUGUUCGAGCGCCAUUACAAACUCCAAGCGUGGCUUGAUGUUGGGCGAUGUCUCUUUGCGAGAGCGGGAGACACGCCUGGAACGCGUUGGCGCCGCCGCCGGACCACGAGCGUAGCAAGACGAGAGUCAAUCGCAUCGAUUUGGUUUCCGACGGAGGUCCGCCUUGGGAGUGGAUUUGAUAUCCUUCCUACAAGUUAUCAAGUUUGGCCUCGGAUCAGGCGGGGAUACCCGCUGAACUUAAGCAUAUCAAUAAGCGGAGGAAAAGAAACCAACCGGGAUUGCCCUAGUAACGGCGAGUGAAGCGGCAAUAGCUCAAAUUUGAAAUCUGGAGCCUUUGGCUUCCGAGUUGUAAUUUGCAGAGGGAGCCUCGGAGGGCGAGACGGUCCAAGUGCCUUGGAACAGGAUACCGCAGAGGGUGAGAGUCCCGUAUCCGGCCGAUCUUGCGCUCCGUGUGAGGCCCCUUCGACGAGUCGAGUUGUUUGGGAAUGCAGCUCCAAGCGGGUGGUAAAUUCCAUCUAAAGCUAAAUACUGGCCAGAGACCGAUAGCGAACAAGUAGAGUGAUCGAAAGAUGAAAAGCACUUUGAAAAGAGAGUCAAACAGUACGUGAAAUUGUUGAAAGGGAAGCGCAUGGGGGCAGACUUGGACGCGGGGUUCAGCGUUUCGAUUGGAGCGUGUACUUCCCCGCGUGCAGGCCAGCAUCGGUUCCGGGGGCCGGACAAAGACGGUGGGAAUGUGGCUCCCCUCGGGGAGUGUUAUAGCCCGGCGUGCAAUGCGGCCACCUGGGACCGAGGACCGCGCCUUGUGCAAGGAUGCUGGCGUAAUGGCCUCAUGCGGCCCGU
rnacentral:rRNA from 2 species